CCCUUUUGAUCAUUAGAACCAGGAGAAGAAGAAGAGUCAACCUCAAGCAAGGCACGUGGCCUGCGAAUAUAGGGAAGCGUGAUCUUCCCAAGAGCAUCUACAUGAACUUGUUGUUGAUGCUGUUCAGAACUAUUAUUACGGGACUUAGGUUGGUGGUGGUGGUCUUUCAACUGAGAAGGGUAGAAGAGAGUGAUUGCUCUACUAGAUCCAGAAGACUUCUUGGCAAGGCGAGCUUGGUGGUAAUAAUCAUUGACAUAAGGAUCGUUGCUGUGUGAAUUAGAGUGCUGCAUCUUGAGUAUACUCUCUAUUUCCUCUGAAGUCAUGUACUUUGAUCUAAACUGCAAUCCACUCUCGCUUUUCUGACUAGCUGCGUCUGAUGCCUGUUGAGAUAUGCCUUUGUUCUUUCGACUCCUAUGAGAAGACUUAUGCUUGUGUUGUUCCCUAACUUCACCACCCCCAAAAGAGACUUUACGUGAUGGUGAUGGAUAAGACCUGUACAGCUGAGACUGUAGCGCUGCAAGCUGAGCAUACGAUUGUCUCUGCUGGAGAGCCAUCAUAUGUUGCGACAUAAGAUCAAUUCGAGGAGGGAAUUGUUGUUGUUGCGCCAGACUAUGUAAUAAACCAGAAUGAUCUCCGUGGAGAAGACCAGGAUCAGUGACCCAAUGAGGUUGCACAACGUUACCAAGGGUAGGACCACACGAGGCAUAUCUAGCCAAAUUACCACCAUAGUGAGGCCCGUGUGAGGGUCCUGAAAGAUGAAAUCUAGAGUUUGACAGCGGGGAAGGUGGGGUGAAAUUCAUCUGAGAACCGCUGGGAAGAGAAGGAGCGCGGUGGAGGCUUCCAGGUGAAGUCUGCUGAGAUCUGCUGCCUGGCGGGGGAAAGGAGGUGAAAGUUGAUUCUGGUACAAUGAUCGGUUCACUAUUGUAGUGUUGCAACGGUGGUGGCUGCUGAGGGUAAGAGGAUGUCCUGUAUAAAGGUUGUGAAUGAGCAGAUGACUGUGGCUGCGAGGACCAUCUGUUAGCCUCUUGAUCUUGCUCGUCCAACCAGUUUGUGAGCUCUGUAUCGUGAGUCCAAUCGGUGGCAGAAGAACCUAAAGAUGAAGUACAUUCAGGUUAAGAAGAACCCUAAAGGUAUACAGUAUACAGUAGUAAGCAAGUUAAGAAUUAAACUCACUCUCUCUUGAAAAGGAACCAGAUCCUCUGUCACCAAUAACUCCAAGGUGUUUGGGUCCUGUGACAUUUCUAUUUAGCUACACAAAGAAAAUAAGUAGAUUUAGAAUCACUAACAAACAAGAGUUCAAAGCUGAAGAACAAGAACAGGUAUAACAUGGCAGUUAAAGAUAUUAAGAUCACUAAAAAAGCAGUUUUUGCAACAAAAAAGAAGUUAAAAAAACCUUUGCAAAAGUCGUGGCAAGAUCAUCCAUGUCAGAUAAUGACCCUAAACCUGCACCCUGCAAUAAUCAACAUGUAUGUAUUAGUAAAACAUCAUCACGUGGUAGCUUUCAGAAGAGAAAACACAUUACCUCUCCUUUAUUAAACAAGUGAUACUCGUCAUCAUCAGGAGAAGUAUGUCCAAGAACAGGAGCGACCACUUCGUCAUCGUCAAUGCCUCCUAAUGACAUUUCGUCAAGGUUUUGCCCAAAAAACUCAUACUGAGAUGCAUCAAAGAGCUUACUAUUUGAAUCUGCAGAUACAAAACACAGCCAGUUUCAGCAGACAAUGCCACAAACACAUGGACUUAAAGCUCUAAGACUUUCAAUCAAAGGGAUAACAACAACAAAAGCAAAACUCAAAAAAAAAAAAAAAAGAGAGAAGCUUUUUAGUAUUCAAAAAGGUUUGAUCAUUCAUGAAAUUGGAGAACAAGAAGAACAACUACACAAAAAAAAAAAAAACAAAACCCAUACAGACAUAAUCUACAGGAAAACACAAGACCAGACAGAAGACAAUUAGCAUAAAUUUCAUCCCUUUAUGUGCUUUUCUCACUCGUAAAACGAACCACAAAGCAACACGGAUCUCAGCUAACAACACAAAGAGAAGAAAGAAACAUCCUUUCGAUGAGAUAAAAAGGGAGUGACCUGAGGAAGAGCGAACAAAGUUGUACAAGUCCCUGGAAUCAGAUCUCUCCAUGAUCGGAGGAUAAAAAGAGCGAAACUUUAGAAAUUAGAGGAUGCGAGAGAAGGAAGAGAAGUCGUAUUCCUUCGCGCUAGGGUUUUCCCAGAUGGGGACGCGGAGAGAGAGAGAAUGAUCAACCCAUCACAGAUUCAGAGUUGAUCUGACCACCCCUUGCAUGCGACGCAGACUCACUAACGGCCGACGGUUUACGACCAAAGUUUAACAAAUAGUUCCUCUGGUCGUCAUUGGUAUGACGGAGGCUCGCACGUAAAAGCUCAGCGGGCAUUUCUCUCUUUAUCGCCAGCUCCAAAACAUCCGCUGCACUCCCUUGGUUCUGCCUACGGAUCGUCUCAUACUUGCUCCUGCAGUAUUUAGUAAGCAGGUUGAAGAACUCAUUAAACGAGGCUCUCCAUAGGCCAUCAUUAGAGCUCCCAUGGACGGCUCGAGGAACCACCACUACUUCAGCAGCUCUCUCGAGAAGUGAUAUCAAGACAACCGAAGCACCAUCCCCAGAAGAGCUUCCAAUAGGACGCAGAGGUGGCUGCUCUGAAGAACAAACCACAGCUGCAAGGCAAGCACUCAGCGCUCGGAGGUCCAUAGCUUGAACACAGACCGUGACUGCCUUGGCAAGAUUAGCAAUCGUCUCUGCUGCUAGAGUAUCCGAAGGCAAGCCGCCGAAGAGAAACCUCAAGUGGCGGAAUAUAGCCAUACAGACAACUCGAGCAAUCUCAGUGCCUGGAACUAGAAGCUGUAUGUACUUCGUAAGCAUUUUCCGACCCUUUGGAAGAGUUGCUAUACGCAGAAACACAACAUCAUCCUUAGCAGUCAGCCCUGACUUCUGACCGGUUUUGCUGAACGGAUCAGCAAGCUGAAGUGCCGUCGCUAGACCUUCAAGGAGGAUCUGGCGUUUUCUCUUCACCUGAGCGCCUCCGUCUUGAGGCCUUGUGGACUGGAGAGUCCUGUCAAUGUCAACUAUGUCGAUAAGAACUCCUAGAGCAUCUUCAAUUGUAACCCUAGCUGCCACAAGUGGUUCCUGCUCCAAAUGUUUCCCUGAGCCCUUUUGAUCAUUAGAACCAGGAGAAGAAGAAGAGUCAACCUCAAGCAAGGCACGUGGCCUGCGAAUAUAGGGAAGCGUGAUCUUCCCAAGAGCAUCUACAUGAACUUGUUGUUGAUGCUGUUCAGAACUAUUAUUACGGGACUUAGGUUGGUGGUGGUGGUCUUUCAACUGAGAAGGGUAGAAGAGAGUGAUUGCUCUACUAGAUCCAGAAGACUUCUUGGCAAGGCGAGCUUGGUGGUAAUAAUCAUUGACAUAAGGAUCGUUGCUGUGUGAAUUAGAGUGCUGCAUCUUGAGU
rnacentral:lncRNA from 1 species